rnacentral:lncRNA from 1 species
UGCCUCGCCUACUAUAGACAGCCAGAGUUCUACAUCAUAGAUCCAAGCUCCUUCCAGAUCAUGUAAGGAUCUCAGAGUGCAGAAAACGGAAGAACAGAGCAAGGAGACAGAGGAGGGUAGGUAGCUAGAAACGUUGUAGUCCACCCCUGAGUUACUGAAGAAGGAGCUCAAGCAGGUCAAGCAUCAGCAUAAAAUGGACUAAAGGACAAAGAAAUGCAGCUGGACUCGUAGAGAUAAAGGUGUGCCUGUCACCCAGGGGAAGCAAUUCCAGUUUCCCUGUGAAUAGUGUCACUUCUUCACUGACCCUCACAAGCAAGAAGAAUAAGAAUUGUUGAGGAUUCUUCACUAACUAUUCUGUCUUUUGGCAAGAAUUCUGAAUUGUUCUUCUGGAGUGCUGAUCCGCUGGACUGGUCCCUGACCCCACUGCCUGAGAGUGUGAAAUGAAAUCAGAGAAGGUGUUAGACGGCAGCUUGGAAGGGGAAAUGACAUGUCUAAUAACCAACAGGA